rnacentral:rRNA from 1 species
GAUCCUGGCUCAGGAUGAACGCUGGCGGCGUGCCUAAUACAUGCAAGUCGAACGAAUCUUCUUCGGAAGAUGAGUGGCGAACGGGUGAGUAAUACAUAGGUAACCUGCCCCUGUGCGGGGGAUAACAGGAGGAAACUCCUGCUAAUACCGCAUAGCCAUGAGCACCGCAUGGAGCUCAUGCCAAAUAUCCUUUCGGGGUAUAGCGCAGGGAUGGACCUAUGGCGCAUUAG